ACGGGAGGCAGCAGUGGGGAAUAUUGCACAAUGGGCGCAAGCCUGAUGCAGCGACGCCGCGUGAGGGAUGAAGGCCUUCGGGUUGUAAACCUCUUUCAGCAGGGAAGAAGCUCUUGAGUGACGGUACCUGCAGAAGAAGCGCCGGCUAACUACGUGCCAGCAGCCGCGGUAAUACGUAGGGCGCGAGCGUUGUCCGGAAUUAUUGGGCGUAAAGAGCUCGUAGGCGGCUUGUCGCGUCGGUUGUGAAAGCCCGGGGCUUAACUCCGGGUCUGCAGUCGAUACGGGCAGGCUAGAGUUCGGUAGGGGAGAUCGGAAUUCCUGGUGUAGCGGUGAAAUGCGCAGAUAUCAGGAGGAACACCGGUGGCGAAGGCGGAUCUCUGGGCCGAUACUGACGCUGAGGAGCGAAAGCGUGGGGAGCGAACAGGAUUAGAUACCCUGGUA
rnacentral:rRNA from 1 species